GGUGGAGCAUGUGGUUUAAUUCGAUGCAACGCGAAGAACCUUACCUGGUCUUGACAUCCACGGAAGUUUUCAGAGAUGAGAAUGUGCCUUCGGGAACCGUGAGACAGGUGCUGCAUGGCUGUCGUCAGCUCGUGUUGUGAAAUGUUGGGUUAAGUCCCGCAACGAGCGCAACCCUUAUCCUUUGUUGCCAGCGGUCCGGCCGGGAACUCAAAGGAGACUGCCAGUGAUAAACUGGAGGAAGGUGGGGAUGACGUCAAGUCAUCAUGGCCCUUACGACCAGGGCUACACACGUGCUACAAUGGCGCAUACAAAGAGAAGCGACCUCGCGAGAGCAAGCGGACCUCAUAAAGUGCGUCGUAGUCCGGAUUGGAGUCUGCAACUCGACUCCAUGAAGUCGGAAUCGCUAGUAAUCGUGGAUCAGAAUGCCACGGUGAAUACGUUCCCGGGCCUUGUACACACCGCCCGUCACACCAUGGGAGUGGGUUGCAAAAGAAGUAGGUAGCUUAACCUUCGGGAGGGCGCUUACCACUUUGUGAUUCAUGACUGGGGUGAAGUCGUAACAAGGUAACCGUAGGGGAACCUGCGGUUGGAUCACCUCCUUACCUUAAAGAAGC
rnacentral:rRNA from 1 species